UACGGGGGGGGCAAGCGUUGUUCGGAAUUACUGGGCGUAAAGGGCUCGUAGGCGGCUUGUUGCGUCGACUGUGAAAACCCGCGGCUUAACCGCGGGCUUGCAGUUGAUACGGGCAGGCUAGAGUUCGGUAGGGGAGACUGGAAUUCCUGGUGUAGCGGUGAAAUGCGCAGAUAUCAGGAGGAACACCGGUGGCGAAGGCGGGUCUCUGGGCCGAUACUGACGCUGAGGAGCGAAAGCGUGGGGAGCGAACAGG
rnacentral:rRNA from 1 species